rnacentral:rRNA from 1 species
UACGAAGGGGGCUAGCGUUGUUCGGAAUCACUGGGCGUAAAGGGCGCGUAGGCGGCUUUAUAAGUCGGGGGUGAAAGCCUGUGGCUCAACCACAGAAUUGCCUUCGAUACUGUAGAGCUUGAGACCGGAAGAGGUAAGUGGAACUGCGAGUGUAGAGGUGAAAUUCGUAGAUAUUCGCAAGAACACCAGUGGCGAAGGCGGCUCACUGGCCCGAUACUGACGCUGAGGUGCGAAAGCGUGGGGAGCGAUCCGG